GGGACAUUACCUAGGAAAAAUAGACACAAACGAUCCAGCUUAAAUAUUAUGGUCAUUGGGGUUAUGAUCCAAUGUGGAUUUUGGAGAUUUCUGAAUUCAUGGCAACAGAAGGGAAACCUUUGGUAUUUACCUACUUCAACCACAUUGUACCUAUUUAUUUUAUUAAUUUUUAUUGUAAAUUAUGACUAAUUGAAGUUUUUGAUUCGAUACAUUUAUUGAUGUAGAUGAUACCUGACUCCGUGGUGGAUAUCAUUUACCACGACUCAGUAGCUUAUGAGUUUGAGGUGUCCAUCUCCGAGACAACUGAAUGCUAUACUUGGGAAGUGCAACAUACGGGUGUUAAUUUUCUAAUAGCGGGUGGAUGGGUCGAUUUUUUAAAGAACCAAGUCAAAAAAGGGAUUAAGAAAAUGUUUUUCUACAAUGAUGGUGCAAAAUCUACCGUGAUUUUGAGAAGUACUGAUGGCUGCUGGGCUUGGAGCUGAAGCUGGUAUAGUUAGGCUGUGGGGAUUUGUGUUUAGGAGUUAUUAUUCCCUUNN
rnacentral:lncRNA from 1 species